UGGAACCUACGGGAGGCAGCAGUGGGGGAUAUUGCACAAUGGGGGGAACCCUGAUGCAGCGACGCCGCGUGGGUGAAGAAGCGCCUCGGCGCGUAAAGCCCUGUCAGCAGGGAAGAAAAUGACGGUACCUGACUAAGAAGCCCCGGCUAACUACGUGCCAGCAGCCGCGGUAAUACGUAGGGGGCAAGCGUUAUCCGGAUUUACUGGGUGUAAAGGGAGCGUAGACGGCGAUGCAAGUCUGAAGUGAAAGGCGGGGGCCCAACCCCCGGACUGCUUUGGAAACUGUAUGGCUGGAGUGCAGGAGG
rnacentral:rRNA from 1 species